rnacentral:rRNA from 1 species
CACAGGUGUAUAUUAAUUCUGUUGCAGUUAAAACGCUCGUAGUUGGAUUUUGGAGGUGUCUAUGGUGUUUGGUCCGCAUUGUAUGUGAGUACCAUCACCGGCCCUUCGUACGUGGUAACGAUGUAGGCGGAUCGCUUAAGUGCGAACUGUCUUUUGUGGACCGAGCGAUCGGGAAGCAGAGGUUGGCGAGCAAUCGUCAGCAACGUCUUACCUAUUUUACUGUGAAAAAAUUAGAGUGUUCAAGGCAUUGCUUAGGCAAAUUGAAUAGUUUAGCAUGGGAUAAUAGAAAACGAGAGUCGUCUUAUUUUGUUGGUUUUAUAAGAAGACUUUAAUGAUCAAUAGGGAUGGUCGGGGCUGUUUGUAUUGAUUCGUCAGCGGUGAAAUGCAAAGAUUGUGUCAAGACAAACAUCUGCGAAAGCAUUCAGCAAGGACAUUCUCAUUAA